ensembl:lncRNA
UUGGAUUCCUCAGAGUCUGAUUCAAUAAAAACCACAGAAUCUAAUUUAAAGGGGAGGGUUAGAAGGAAGAAAAGGAGGAGGAGGAGGAGAGAAAGAAAGAAGAAGAAGAAGAAGAAGAAGAAGAAGAAGAAGAAGAAGAAGAAGAAGAAGAGAAGAAGAAGAAGAAGAAGAAGAAGAAGAAGAAGAAGAAGAAGAAGAAGAAGAAGAAGAAGAAGAAGAAGAAGAAGAAGAAGAAGAAGAAGAAGAAGAAGAAGAAGAGAGAGAGAGAGAGAGAGAGAGAGAGAGAGAGAGAGAGAGAGAGAGAGAGAGAGAGAGAGAGAGAGAGANAGAAAGAAAGAAAGAAAGAAAGAAAGAAAGAAAGAAAGAAAGAAAGGAAGGAAGGAAGGAAGGAAGGAAGGAAGGAAGGAAGGAAGGAAGGAAGGAAGGAAGGAAGGAAGGAAGGAAGGAAGGAAGGAAGGAAGGAAGGAAGGAAGGAAGGAAGGAAGGAAGGAAGGAAGGAAGGAAGGAAGGAAGAAAGGGAGGGAGGGAGGAAGGGAGGGAGGGAGGAAGGAAGGAAGGAAGGAAAGAAGGAAGGAAGGAAGGAAGAAAGGGAGGAAGGAAGAAAGGGAGGGAGGGAGGAAAAAAAAAAGAGAAAGAGAGAAACAAAGAGAGAAAGAAAGACGCUUUGAUAUAUCUGUUCAUACUGGGUUUAUGCCUGAGACCUAGCAGAUCUCAAUGUCAAUUCUGCUCUUGAAUUGGCACUCAUAAAAGUAGAGCUGACUGGUAUUUUCUGCUCAAUAGAUGGUACUUGACAUGGUGUUAUGUUUUAGAAAAGUGCAGCUUGAUCACCUCAUUCCUUCUGUGCUUUGGAUUGUCUAUAGGAGAAGAGAACAUAUGGAUAAAAUAUGUUAGAUGAUAUUUGGUCUGGUCCUGUGUGGUGUUGUGCUACUCUGGGGCUCAUAAUCGUCAGCAGCAGCAGCAGCAGAAGGGACAAUGGUAACUUGAAUCCCAAACUCUUGCAUCCAUGAUUGGAUCACUCCUCUGUUUAGGCAGAGCCUCUUUCUUGAAGGCUUGAUUCAACUGGCCAAAACUUAGAAUUGCAUUUUAGCUAUAGUCAGAUACUGGUUGGAACUAAAAGGAUCUAGAAUCUGGCUGUUUCAAAUAGUCUAGGCAGCACUGGAGCUCCACGUGAGUCAGGGAAAAUCUCAAGUCAUUCUCAGGAAGUGUUAUAACCUCAGGCAGAGGUUAUAAAUGUUAUAAUAUAUGAUAGUACUCAAAAUAGUAUGGGCUAGCUCUGUGACCCUGGGCAAGUCACUUAGCCUGUUUGCCUCAGUUUUUUCAUAUGCAAAAUGAGUAGAAGAAGGAAAUGGCAAACUACUCUAUGCUUGCCAAGAAAACCCCAAAUGGACUCAUGAAGAGUCAGACACAGCUAAAAAAUGACUAAGCAAAACAAUGAUGGGGCUAUAGCUUAACUACUAUAGACAGUCUCACAUAGCUCCAAUAAUUUACAAAGAGUCAGUUUCAAUGGAACCCUGGCCAUAACAAUUUACGCCUGAGAGAAAAGCAAGGGGCCAAAUGAGACAGCAAAGUGCUGUGGAGAGUAUAAUUGUUUUAGAGUCAGAAGAUGUGACUUUGAAUUCUGGAUCUGCCACUACCUUAGGCAAUUAUUUAGCCUCUUCAGCUUUCUGUUUUUUCAUCUGUAAAGUGGGACGACUAGCCUAUGUCC